UACGUAGGGGGCAAGCGUUGUCCGGAAUCAUUGGGCGUAAAGAGCGUGUAGGCGGUCCGGUAAGUCGGUUGUGAAAGUCGGGGGCUCAACCCUCGGAUGCCGAUCGAUACUGUCGGGCUAGAGUCCGGAAGAGGCGAGUGGAAUUCCUGGUGUAGCGGUGAAAUGCGCAGAUAUCAGGAGGAACACCAAUGGCGAAGGCAGCUCGCUGGGACGGUACUGACGCUGAGGCGCGAAAGCGUGGGGAGCAAACAGG
rnacentral:rRNA from 1 species